rnacentral:rRNA from 1 species
ACUCAAAGGAGACUGCCAGUGAUAAACUGGAGGAAGGUGGGGAUGACGUCAAGUCAUCAUGGCCCUUACGACCAGGGCUACACACGUGCUACAAUGGCGCAUACAAAGAGAAGCGACCUCGCGAGAGCAAGCGGACCUCAUAAAGUGCGUCGUAGUCCGGAUUGGAGUCUGCAACUCGACUCCAUGAAGUCGGAAUCGCUAGUAAUCGUGGAUCAGAAUGCCACGGUGAAUACGUUCCCGGGCCUUGUACACACCGCCCGUCACACCAUGGGAGUGGGUUGCAAAAGAAGUAGGUAGCUUAACCUUCGGGAGGGCGCUUACCACUUUGUGAUUCAUGACUGGGGUGAAGUCGUAACAAGGUAACCGUAGGGGAACCUGCGGUUGGAUCAC